UACGUAGGGUGCGAGCGUUGUCCGGAAUUAUUGGGCGUAAGGAGCUUGUAGGCGGUUUGUCGCGUCUGCUGUGAAAAUCCGGGGCUCAACCCCGGACUUGCAGUGGGUACGGGCAGACUAGAGUGUGGUAGGGGAGACUGGAAUUCCUGGUGUAGCGGUGAAAUGCGCAGAUAUCAGGAGGAACACCGAUGGCGAAGGCAGGUCUCUGGGCCACUACUGACGCUGAGAAGCGAAAGCAUGGGGAGCGAACAGG
rnacentral:rRNA from 1 species